GUGCUCUCUUUGGCAGCACAUAUACUAAAAUUGAAACAAUACAGGAAGAUUAGCAUGGUCCUUGUGCAAGGAUGACAUGCAAAUUAUGAAGCAUUCUAUGUUUUA
rnacentral:snRNA from 1 species